GGGUUGUGAGGUUAAGCGACUAAGCGUACACGGUGGAUGCCCUGGCAGUCAGAGGCGAUGAAGGACGUGCUAAUCUGCGAUAAGCGUCGGUAAGGUGAUAUGAACCGUUAUAACCGGCGAUUUCCGAAUGGGGAAACCCAGUGUGUUUCGACACACUAUCAUUAACUGAAUCCAUAGGUUAAUGAGGCGAACCGGGGGAACUGAAACAUCUAAGUACCCCGAGGAAAAGAAAUCAACCGAGAUUCCCCCAGUAGCGGCGAGCGAACGGGGAGCAGCCCAGAGCCUGAAUCAGUGUGUGUGUUAGUGGAAGCGUCUGGAAAGGCGCGCGAUACAGGGUGACAGCCCCGUACACAAAAAUGCACAUGCUGUGAGCUCGAUGAGUAGGGCGGGACACGUGGUAUCCUGUCUGAAUAUG
rnacentral:rRNA from 1 species